rnacentral:rRNA from 1 species
UACAGAGGUCCCAAGCGUUGUUCGGAUUCACUGGGCGUAAAGGGUGCGUAGGCGGGUUUGUAAGUAGAUUGUGAAAUCCCUGGGCUUAACCUGGGACGUGCAGUCUAAACUGCAAAUCUUGAAUGUCUGAGAGGAUGGCGGAAUUCCCGGUGUAGUAGUGAGAUACGUAGAUAUCGGGAAGAACACCUGAGGCGAAGGCGGCUAUCUGGCGGUACAUUGACGCUGAGGCGCGAAAGCGUGGGGAGCAAACAGG